UUUUUUUUUUUUUUUUGGUAAGCACAAUCUUGGUAAAGUUAUGGACUCCAUUUAGAAAUCCACUACAAGAUAAGCAUGUGAAUAUGUGAUCAAUGUGUACCAAAUAAAGGAGCAAGCCCUCCAGUUGCUGAAGGCUGUCGUUGAUGAAUUUUGGAAACAAGAACCAAAAAUACAAAAGAAGUCUCAAUUGAGAAUUGAAGUAUCCCAGAAUUAAUUUUGUUUUAUAUGCAAACGAAACUUGUUGACAACAUUAACUCCUUCGCCCGAAAAUGGUCCAGCUUCAACCAAAGGAAACUUAGAAACCUGUUUUCUUAAGUCAAUGAAUUUUUGAUCAGAUCAUUUGAUCAUUUAACGUAACGAGGCCAAGAUGAUCAAUUAGAUAGAUAUACUAUCUCCAUCAACCAGCAACAGAAACCAUCCAUCCAUCAACCAAAUAAUUACUCCCUAUCUUUCGUUUCCGUAUAAAACUGUGGAAGACACCUUAAUUGUCCACUGCAGCGCUUGCUACGAACAAGAGAUACAAGAAUCUUGGUCCAAAAAUGUCCCCUUGCUGCAAGAGUUUCACACUAUCUCUUCUUGCUAUUCUGCUUUUGUCUAGCUUCCUCCCGAUCGAGCUUUUGAUCGUUAUACAUUCGUUGUAAGUGCUGCUCAUUUUCUUAUCUCCAUUGUUUUCCGGGUGGAUUAGUACGUACUUCAUCAUCAGGUAGCUAAAUGUUUCAGUUUGACACAGGAUGUGGAUCCUCAUUCUAGAAUACUAGAUAGAUACAGACGGGGAAUUCCUGAACUCGGGGCUCCUCAUUCUGUAUUGCAAUUAAUUCUGAAUAAACCACCUCGUUCUGAGAAAAUUAAUUUGUUGUUAACAUUUGAUAAAUUUUCUUAAUAUGUUAAUUGAUGAGCAUAUAUAUUGCGAUUGUCAAUAAAUUUGUGACUGUAUACAGGUACGCGAAGCUCGGUAUGAGAGAUUGUGUAGCUCAAAGACGAUACUAACUGUAAAUGGAAAAUUUCCUGGCCCGACAUUGUAUGCUUACAAAGGAGAUGAAGUAAUUGUAUACGUUUCCAACAAAGGAAAUGAGAAUAUAACCCUUCACUGGUACGCUAUAUAAAUGUCUAAGGUUUCUGUUUUUUGCCCUGUAGUUUUACUUAAUUUUCCAGAGACCCGGUCAACUUUCACAAUCAGGCAGAUUCUUCCAUGCCGGUUGGUAAUUUGGUUUAGUAUUUAUUCUUAAAUAUUUUGAUUAGGUAAAAGGACGUACAAUAUAAUACUCUGCAACUGCAUACAUCCAAACAUGUGCUUUUUCUUAAAAAAAAAAAAAUUUAGUAAGAGGGGAAUAGGAUUUAAGAAGCGAAAAUGGCGAAGGGGGCAGAAGGAUGCAUAUGAAAUAUGAUCGUAUCUUUAUAUUAGGGGUAAGAGAAAUAUUUAGAUUAUUUAAAAAUCAAAUAUAAAAGGGUGAUUAGAAUUGAGAAGAACUAUAAAAAGAGCAAACGAAGAAGGGUAAAAAAAGAAUAAAUCAUUAUCACAAUAUUGUUAUCUAUUUGUAUUUGCUGCUUUUCUUAGCCUUAUUAUCUUCUUUUCUAUCUAUGCAAACAAAAUAAUGAAAAUUUUUUAUUUAUUUGUUGCCUUUGCAUAUUUUUCUUCUUUAUAUGGAAUUCCUUUACGUUAUCACCAUUUCAUCAGAACUAUAAGUGCAUAUGGUGACCGUAGGAGUAAUAAAUACCAUCAUCAAUUUCAUAGCUAUAGAUGUAUAAAAUUUAAUCAAGAGUUAAAUAUCUAGCAAAAAUCGUUAUAGGUUCUUAUCUGCAUAAUAUUCAAACCUAUGGGGGUAAACUGAGAUUAAGUUAAAGCUCAGGAGGGAAAAUGAACAAUUAUGUAUAUCCACAAUGGCAAUGCCACGAUUUUACGACAUGGUCAAUGGCAGCAACCUAAUUUUCAGGGCUUAGCUGCUGUUAUAUCAAUUUUCUUUAUCUCCUUUUUUUUUUCAUCAUGUUCUUGACAAUAAUUACAGUGAACUAACGAGCUUUCAAGAAUUUGCAGGCAUGGAGUGAAACAGCCACAAUAUCCAUUGGUCAGACGGCCAGAAUAUGUGACACAAUGUCCAAUUAAACCAGGCAAACAAAUUUAGCCAAAAGUCAUAUUUUCUGAAGAGGAAGGAACCUUUGGUGGCAUGCACACAGUGAUUGGUCGCGAGCCACCGCUCAUGGUGCUAUUGUCGCGAGACUCGUUAAUUUCGUUAUGAGUAUCUUCCAAUUAAUUUCAAGUCAAUCGUGAUUGAAACUGACUGCGAAAUGAUCUUUGGACAUCAUUUUCAUUGCUGAUGAAUAGAGGUGACAAAAUGGAUAAUUGAUUAGAUUGUGAUGGAUUGACAUUUCAAUGACUUGUUUAUUAAAGUCCUUAUUUUAAAUGAAAUUGAGAAAAGGAGAUAGUCAGCUAAUUUUGUCUUGACUAUUAUUAUAUAUUUUCUUGUUUUGUACGAAACUGAGAAAAGGAGAUGGUCAACUAGUUUUGUCUCGACUAUUAUUAAACAUUUUCUAUCAGUAUAUAGUAUAGACGCAAAUCACAUAAUUCAAAUUUAAAUUUGAAAUUCACUUUUUGUAUAGAUGACAUAUAUCUAUACCUAUUAAUGUUAAAAAUAUAUUACACUGAUGACAGUAAAUAAAUAAAAAAAUUAAUCCUUAUUUUAUCUAGUUGUUAAUGCCACAUGCUUGAUUAGUCAUAUUGUAUACUGAAUAAACUGGCUGGCCGUUGUUUUCCAAUGUGACGGUACUGAAAUGGAUGGUUUGAGAGACGUAUGCUAAAUGAGUCACGGCUAGAAGUGGCAAAAUGGAUUCAUAUCCACUAAUCCAUCCAUAUAAACCAACCUUAAAUGGAUUUGGAUGAUCCAUAUAAAUUCAAUGGUUUUAAAUGGAUAACCAUUUAAAUCCAAUUAUGUUAGUGGAUUUAAAUGGAUUAUCCAUCUUAUCCAUAUACAUCCAUUUAACUUAAAAAAAGAAACACAUUUAUAAGAAUGUGAGAUAAAAUGUUGUGGGACCAUCUAUUCUUUUCUUCAUAACUUUAUCAUAUGUCAAAUUAAUUUUGUGGACCACCUAUUCUUUCUUUCAUAACUUCCUCGCAUGCCAAGUUGCCAAUAACAUUAAUUGCAUUUUAUUUGCUUCUAGUUCCCAGACUUCUUCCAUCCUUUUCAAAAUUAUAUUUUAGUCUCUACUCUUAUUUUUUAAUUAAACUCUCAUGUAGUAAUGAUUGCAAACAUUUAUAUUCUUAAGUAAAGAAAAAGCGAGAAUGCAUCAUGCAGUGUCAAAAUAAUUUUUAUUUUUUUAAUUCUUUUAUUUAUAAAAAAAAAAUUUCUAACGAGUGUCCCCGCAACAUUGGUUAAGAUAUGUAAAUGACAUUUUUUUUUUUCCCAAAUCCUCAUACUUGCAAUCCCUCUCCCUUAUCACCCAACUCAACUAUCCAAAAAACAAAAGACACCUAAUUUACUAAGUAAUAUAAGGUAGCUGGUAUAUCAAUGGUAUAAUAAGGAGUUUCAUACAUUUUUAGGUACUACGUGCACAUGUGAUGCAAAUAUUUUACUUGUCAAAUAACAUAAGAUUUCUUAUUAGAACUCCACUUUUAUUCAAGACAUCACUCUUGAACAGGAGUGCAAAAAAUUGGAAACGUAAACUUUUUUUCACUGUAAAGCCGUAUUCAAUUCAUUCAAAAGUUAUAAAAAUAUGGCCAAGUUCUUAAUUGUUCAUUACUUUACAAAAUGAUACUUAAAGUAAUGACGAAAGGUUAAAUUGACCACAACAGUUAAAUUUUCUUGGAAUUAAACUAAUUUUAUGAAGAACUGAAAUAGAGUAGUAGUACAAGCAUUUGUUAUUACCAAAAGGUUUUAGGUGAUUCAAGGAUAGAACUUUGGGGAUAUGUAUUUUUUGGAAAAAAAACAUUUUGAUCUUAAAUUUAGGAUUUGGGAGAGUAAAUGGAUAAAUGGAUGGAUCAUGGUUUACACUAUCCAUUUAAAUGACAUCCAUUUAGAUCCAUUUAUUAAAUGGUUUUAAUUGGAUUGGAUCAAUUUGAUCCACAAUCCAUUUAACUAAAACCAUUUAUCAACCAUAUAUCCAUUUUGCCACUUCUAGUCACGGCAUCCUGCCGACUUUUGAAACCUCAAUGAUAACGCUUUCGCAUGGGCUUUUGAUUUUGCUACAUGAAUUCUUGAUUCUUCAGAAGUAAGAUACAGAUUCCCCCUACGCAAAGAAAGAAGAAAAACAAUUGAGUGUGUUUGGACACAGGGGCAGAGCCAGAAAAAAAUCUUAGUGGGGCACAAAUAAUACUAAAAUUUUUUAUCUACUCUUUUUUUAAUUUUUUGAGCAAAAACUAAAUAAAUUCACUAACAAGUACAAUUGAUAUGUAUAUUCCAUGAAAAACAUAAAAAGACAAACUCAAAAUUAUUAAUGUAAUAAUAAUUUUAUUUAAAAACUUCUUUUAUUGUCAUUUUUUGCACCUUCAUUAUCCUUGGCUUCUUCUUUAUUAGAUGGCUCUUUUUCCAUUGAUUUCCUCUUGAAAUAUCUCUCCAUAGCUAAAGAAAUUAAAAUCAAUAUAUAAGAUACUAAUCCAAUUAAAAUAUUAAAUGUACAAUAAAAUCUAAUAAUCUAUCCAAAAACUAUUUUACAAGUUAAAAUUAUUUAUUAAAUCAUUAAUCACAACAUAUCAUUACUAUAUCAAAUCACAACUUAUUCAUUCAUUACUAUAUCAAAUCAUUAAUUAGAAUAUAUGAACCUAAUCAAGUUAAUUAGACAAAAGGAUCCAUAUAAGAAUAAUUUAAAAGUUAAAAUAUAUGUCAAAUGGCCCUCUAUUCAUCAUUACAUUAACUCCAAAUAAGAAACUAAUCAUGGAAAAUAAAAAAUAAAUUAUAAAUCUAUAAAAUCACCAUUUCACAAGUUAAAAUAUUUAUCAAAUAUCAAAUAACCCAUUUAUUAGUUAUUACAUUAACUAAUCAAUUUUCAAAUUUCUCUAAAACAGUAAUAAUCUCAUGCUCUAGAAAUAUAUUUGCAAACAAAUUUAAAAUAAUAAUAAUAAUAAGUAAUUGUUUAAAACCUGAUUUCAAUGGUCUCCCAAAAUUGGUGAAAAGAAUUGCAAAUCAGUGGCACUGUGGCAGACUCGGGUCCCUUUACUUCCUUUGUGCCCCGUAUCACGUUAUUUAAUUGGAAAGAAGUCAUCUUCAAGGACUGGUUUCUUGCGGUUGAACUGAAGAAAGUAGGUCUUGGUUUUCAAAAAGCCUACUCCUUUAAUGGAACACUGUUUGAAGUAGUCAACAACACCAUUUUCAUGACAGGAAAACCAGGAUCGGACUAUUUGAUGGGAGAGACCAUUUUCAGUGGGGACAACCAAGAGGCAAAAGAGGAAAAGAAAAUUGGGGAAUGGGGACAAAGGAAGUAAAUGAUUAAUGAUGAUUGGAUGAAGUAAUAAAAAGAAAGAGUAGUUAGUUGGGUGUGGAAGAAGAGGAGUCGUGGGUUGUGAAGUGAAAUGGGGGACAGGAGUAAAGGGAACUUGGAGAGUGGGGACCAAAAGUAAUGACUGAUAUAAUUGAUAUUUGGUCCUUAGAGGAAGAAAGUGAAUGAUAUAAAUUUUGUGACCCAUUCUUUCAUUUUUUUUUUUAAAAAUUCUGGGGGCACCAUUAAAAUUAUAUCAAAAUUAUAGGAGUAUUAGAGGAAUUUAAGGAGGGCAGUGGGGCCCGUGCCCCCAGUGCCCCACUGUAAAUCCGCCCUUGUUUGGACAGGAGAUUAUUUGAAAUAAUUACUAUAAAACUUUUUGUGAUGUGCUGUAUAUGAGAUAAAAAGAUAAUUGUGAAGAUAAAAAAUGUAUAUUAAAAAUUGUAAUAGUGAUGUAAAUAAAUAAAUUUGGACAAAUAAUCUCCUGUCCAAACACACUCAUUAAUGUGCGUUGAGAUACAGAAGAUCUUUUCCGUGGCGUAAUCAAAUUGGAAAGUUUGGGAUAUUUUUAGAAAAUAUUUUGGAAUAUUUAAAAGUAAAAGAGUUUCUAGAAUAUAUUUUAAGAUAUUUUUAAAAUUUUAAAUAAAUUUAUCCAUAUCUGUCCAUGAAUAGAUGAAUAUGGAUAUCUUAAGUUUUUACAUAUGGGUAAAAAUGAGUUACCCAUUAAUUCAUUUAAAAUUGUCUUCCUCCAAACCUCCUCUCUUCCUCCACUUUUUUUUUUUUUUUUCAGAUUUUUCAUUUUGUCAUGAUAUUAACUACUUUUGCUUCGUUAUUAUUAUGAUUUGUUAGUUUUAUUCUAUCAUUUUAUUUUCUCUUAGUUUGUUAACUUGCUCAUUUUUCAGCAUUACUAAUUUAUGAAAAGUUUUAGCCUCUUUUCCUACCUUUCCAAAAUAAAAUUUAAUUUACAUACAAAAAAAAUGCUAGGAUUUCAAAAUUUUUGAAUUAAGUUUUUAUGUUAACUUUUAUAGUAUUUCGUUCCAAUUUUUAUAUUUUUAUUGUUCAAUUAUUAAAUAGUAUGUAAUUUUAUGACAUAAAGUAUGAAUGCAUUGGCAAUUAGAAUUAUUGAGCAUUAUAAGUAAAUAUUUAAAACUAAUAAUGGUUGCAAAGGGUGAUAUAAAUUGAUAACUUAGUUUGUAAAAAUGAAUUUAAAUGAGUUUACCAAAAGUUAAAAUAAAUGGAUUAUAAAUAAGUAAUUGAGUUACCCAAUUCAUUUAUUUAUUGACUUAACCAUUUACACCCAUCUAAUUAAAUGGAUAUAAAUGAGUUAGCUCACUUAUACCUAUUAUCCAUUUUAACCAAUCCAAAUUCACUCAAGUCACCCAUUUUGACACCUCUAUUUGAAAGGUACCACUUACAUCAGCACUGUCAACCAUGAACAAUGGAACGAUUUCACCAAGAAAAAGCUGCAUAGCCAAUUUUGGAUUCUACUACUCAAAUUCUUGUCUAGUUAAAAAACGCAGCAUAUAUAAAAUGUUAAAGCAACAAAAGCUCCUGUUAUGGCAAGGAUACUUGAAAUUUUCCAAACAAAAUCUAGUUCCCAUACAUAUGUUGGAUGUGACCUCAUGGUGAAGUAACCUUCAAGAAUUCGUUAUAAUAAUGUGUCUCAAGUGCAAAGUGACGAUCAAAGCUAAUUCCUUGAUUAUUUAUAUUUCUCUGAGUCAAAAGAGAGGAGGGAGGAGGGCGCCCCCUAGGGUAGGGAGAAAGAAUAGACGACUGUUUACAGAACAACAGGAAGGAAAAAUUCGUUCUUGAUACUUGAAAGUUUAGGAGAAAAUGAAAAGGGCUCAUUUCUUUAGCUUUUAUCUAUCUCACGAAUGAGAGAGAAAUGAAAGCUCAACAAUUUAUAGUCUACUUCACACCGUUACAGAUCAAGCAGAAACACAAACAAAUAAUUCUCACUUGUAAAGCUGCUUGAAUCUGCUACAGGCUUCCAAUACAUUGUUCCUGUUUCCAAAGGCACUCACCCUAAUGAAACCUUCACCACCAGGUCCAAAUCC
rnacentral:lncRNA from 1 species